UACAUAGGGUGCAAGCGGUGUCCGGAAUUAUGGGGCGUAAAGAGCUCGUAGGUCGUUUGCCGCGGCGAGGGUGAAAAUCUGAGGCUCAACCUCAGACCUGCAGUCGAUACGGGCAAACUAGAGUGUGGUAGGGGAGACUGGAAUUCCUGGUGUAGCGGUGGAAUGCGCAGAUAUCAGGAGGAACACCAAUGGCGAAGGCAGGUCUCUGGGCCAUUACUGACACUGAGGAGCGAAAGCGCGGGGAGCGAACAGG
rnacentral:misc_RNA from 1 species